UACGAAGGGGGCUAGCGUUGUUCGGAAUCACUGGGCGGAAAGGGCGCGUAGGCGGCCAUAUAAGUCGGGGGUGAAAGCCUGUGGCUCAACCACAGAAUUGCCUUCGAUACUGUAUGGCUCGAGACCGGAAGAGGUAAGUGGAACUGCGAGUGUAGAGGUGAAAUUCGUAGAUAUUCGCAAGAACACCAGUGGCGAAGGCGGCUUACUGGUCCGGUUCUGACGCUGAGGCGCGAAAGCGUGGGGAGCAAACAGG
rnacentral:rRNA from 1 species